rnacentral:rRNA from 1 species
UAACUGCGAGUGAAGCGGGAAAAGCUCAAAUUUAAAAUCUGGCAGUGGUUCACUGCCCGAGUUGUAAUCUAGAGAAGUGUUGCUCACACUGGACCAUGUAUAAGUCUUCUGGAAUGAAGCGUCAUAGAGGGUGAGAAUCCCGUCUUUGACAUGGACUCCCAGUGUAUUUGUAGCAUGCUCUCAAAGAGUCGAGUUGUUUGGGAAUGCAGCUCUAAAUGGGUGGUAACCUCCAUCUAAAGCUAAAUAUUGGCGAGAGACCGAUAGUGAACAAGUACCGUGAGGGAAAGAUGAAAAGAACUUUGGAAAGAGAGUUAAAAAGUACGUGAAAUUGUUGAAAGGGAAACGCUUGAAGUCAGUCACAUUGGCCAGGGAUCAACCCAAGCUUUUUUGCUUAAGUGUACUUCCUGGCUGAUGGGCCAACAUCAGCUUUGACUGUCAGAGAAGGGUAGGGGGAAUGUGGCACCCUUCUUGGGUGUGUUAUAGCCCUCUGUCAUAUAUGGCCGUUGGGGCUGAGGAAUGCAGCGCGCCACAAAGGCCGGGUUUCGACCACGUUUCGCGCUUAGGAUGUUGGCAUAAUGGCUUUAAUCGACCCGUCUUGAAACACGGACCAAGGAGUCUAACAUGCCUGCGAGUGUUUGGGUGGAAAACCCGAGUGCAUAAUGAAAGUGAAAGUUGAGAUCCCUGUCAUGGGGUGCAUCGACGCCCGGACCUGAGCUUUUCUAGCAAUGGCUCUGCGGUAUAGCAUGUAUGUUGGGACCCGAAAGAUGGUGAACUAUGCCUGAAUAGGGCGAAGCCAGAGGAAACUCU